rnacentral:rRNA from 1 species
UUUUGAGGGCUCACUAGCUUUGGAGUCAUGGAAACUCCGAAGUUAAGCGAGUUUGGGCUAGAAUAAUAUUAUGAUGGGUGACCCACUAGGAAGUUGCUCAUAAGUUCUCAAAAA